GCUGUAUCCUGUAACCAAACGACAUUGGUGGUAACAAAUGGGUUUCCUCUUAAAAAAAGCUCACACAGUUGUGCUCUCCAGACUGCUUUCUCUUCAGCUAUUGCCAGUUCUGCACAUUGCCAGAUUUGAAACAGAAUGACAAAAAUUGCUUUAUGCUUGCACAUGGUA